CUCAGUUUCAGGGUUUGGAUCUGGAUUUUUGAGAUGAACUGGAAUAACACAGGAAACCGGCUUCUCUCAGCCAUUUUUCCUCGGCCAAUGGCAGGAGGAUACAAUCCUCAAUAUCCACCAGGCGCUGUCUACCCUCCUCAGCCUUGGGGUGCACCUGGGUACGUUGCUGUAGCCCCACCUUAUGGAGGGUAUGGACCUGGCUAUGAGUCUUGGCAGGGAUAUGAGCACAGGCAUCAUCAUCAUCAUCAUCAUGGUCAUCAUCAUGGACAUCAUCAUGGUCAUCAUCACCAUCAUGGCUGCUAACCCAAUCAUGGUCACAAGAAAGGAAGCACAUGUCACGGGUACUCCAGCAGCUCCUGCAGCAGCGACUCGGACUAGAUGAAGAUGAAGGAAACAAGACAAGUUGCCACCGGGAAUCCUUCACCCUGCUACCUUACAGUAGAUUAUAAUAAACAGUUUGUUUGAUUUCAAAUGUUGGGAUUAUAUAACACACCACAAGGUUUUUAGAAAGCUGUUAAAGUCAGGUUCAGCUGUUACAUAUUAUGAAGUGUUUAACCA